UACGUAGGGUGCAGGCGUUAAUCGGAAUUACUGGGCGUAAAGCGUGCGCAGGCGGUCUGCUAAGACAGGUGUGAAAUCCCCGGGCUUAACCUGGGAACUGCAUUUGUGACUGCAUCGCUGGAGUGCGGCAGAGGGGGAUGGAAUUCCGCGUGUAGCAGUGAAAUGCGUAGAUAUGCGGAGGAACACCGAUGGCGAAGGCAAUCCCCUGGGCCUGCACUGACGCUCAUGCACGAAAGCGUGGGGAGCAAACAGG
rnacentral:rRNA from 1 species